GAUAGCUAAGCUCGCUCUUAUAGUUCCCUUGAUAAAUCUCUUUUGGAUUUUCUUAUUAAAGUAAUACUUUAUAUUUUUAGAGAACAACCUACCAUACUUGCAGAACCCAAGUUAAAAGGAAGUUCAAACAUUCUGAAAGCAGAGCACAUUAAAUGAAUGAGGGAGCCUAUUUUUCAAUAAUUCUUUCUCAUCAAAAGAACUAAAUUGAAACAUUCAAUUCACGGAAAUAUUAAUUUUUUUUUCCUUGGGCAGCACAGAGCUGAGCUUUGAUUAGGGAAACAAGUAUAAGUGAGAUAGUCUGAGUCCUCAGAGAUUUGUAAUCUACAUAAACCACUGUUGCUGAGACCAUGCCCAAACCACGCCAAACUGCAAGGCUUCUAUGAGGUCGGCUCUGUGAUCUACAGUGGAGCAGAGGGGAGGCAGAGUGAUGUAAAGACCUGAAACUAUAGUUACCUUCAUGGACAGAAAAAUGGAAUAUCAACCUCAAACGGCAUAAAGGAAAAUUCACUGGAAAGAGGAAAUAUCAGAUGCUUCCAUUGAAGUCUCACCCAACUCCUGGAAAAGUGUCAGUCAAUCUUCUGUGCAUCAUGUCUGUCUGACACCAAAUAUUCAGGUUCUCUACAUAUCAAGGUAUUAGCACAGAGGUAAGAAGUUUAGGUGAAUAUUUUUGA